AUCUGACCUGUCGACAGGAGGCUCUGUGCAACCUCGUGCUGGUGCUGGGGACCCGCUUACGGCGAAGGAGGUGGGGGCAGUGAGCCCGUGGCCGUGGGACCCACCGGUCCCCUAACACACCACACGGCCCAGAAGCUGCUGGCCCAGCGGAGCAACGAAGCUGCCUUCUGGCUCAGAGUUGAUAGCCUAGGGCGGAUGCUUCCAGAAAGGGAUGUGGUAAGAGUCUGAUUCAAUGCUGGGUCACGGCUCCUCGUGCCAGAAGACUAGCAGGUCAAGGAAGGGGUCUCCUCGCGGCCACCGGAGGAGGGAGCAGCCAGAAUCCUGGAGACGCUCUUCCGACGGUGACCCCUGUGGCUGGCGGGUCUGAGGGGCGCCAAGGUGGACCGUGGUCGGCAUUACGGCGUGCUGCCCAGAUUCGCCCCUCAGAACGAGGGCUCUCAUUCCCUCCGUGGCUGGGAGUAUAGGCUGCCGAUGGCUCAGAGAAGUCCCUCCUGGGGAGCUGCCCUCAGCUGCGGGCCACCCCCUCCCUGGACGCAGCCCCGUGCAGACUGGCUUGUGCAUGGUGCAAAGGCUCCACCCUCUGGUCUCAGUUCAGGACGUCCCUGUGGGGCCAGGUGGCCCCUCACCAGACAGCCUCUCCUCCCCAAGCAGCAGCCUGCAUGCAAGGGCCUGUCUCUCAGGGAGCCCAACCUGUGUCUCCUAGAGCCUCGCCGAAGCCUGGCCUGUUACCCAGCACUCUGGUCUUGUCUUGUGUCCCUGCUGCAUCAGUGACGCUCCCUCGACCUGGAACCACUCCUUGCAUUUUGUCCCUUCGCCUCAAACAGAAGUCACAGGUCUGAUCGAUUGUCCUGACCCCGCCAGGCCUCCCUGUGAACACUCACCG